GUUCUGCUCUGACAGCCGCCAGGCCCCAAAGCAGCCUUAGGGCACUGCAGCUUGGAAGCUAAGCAGGAUUGGGCCUGGCUGGGGCUUGGGUGGGAGACUGCCUAGGAAGACCAGGGAGACU
rnacentral:rRNA from 1 species